AGCGCAGGCGGGCCGGUUAGUCUAAAGUGGAAUCCCAGGGCUCAACCCUGGACGUGCUUUGGAUACUGCCGGUCUUGAGUUCGUGAGAGGAAAGUGGAAUUCAGGGUGUAGCGGUGAAAUGCUUAGAUAUCCUGAGGAACACCAGUGGCGAAAGCGAUUUUCUGGCACGAAACUGACGCUGAGGCUCGAAAGCAUGGGUAGCAACG
rnacentral:rRNA from 1 species